rnacentral:rRNA from 1 species
GACGAACGCUGGCGGCGUGCUUAACACAUGCAAGUCGAACGGAAAGGCCCCUUUGGGGGUGCUCGCGUGGGGAACGGGUGGGUAACACGUGCGUAACCUGCCCUUGACUUAGGGAUAGCUUCAGGAAACUGGGGCUAAUACAGGCUAGGAAUCCUUGCUGCAUGGUGGGGGUUGGAAGGAUUCGGCGGUUUUGGAUGGACUCGCGGCUUAUCAGCUUGUUGGUGGGGUAGUGGCUUACCAAGGCUUUGUCGGGUAGCCGGCCUGAGAGGGAGACCGGCCACAUUGGGACUGAGAUACGGCCCAGACUCCUACGGGAGGCAGCAGUGGGGAAUAUUGCACAAUGGGCGGAAGCCUGAUGCAGCAACGCCGCGUGCGGGAUGACGGCCUUCGGGUUGUAAACCGCUUUCAGCAGGGGCGAAGCUUUUGUGACGGUACCUGCAGAAGAAGCACCGGCUAACUACGUG